rnacentral:snRNA from 1 species
AGCUUUGCGCAGUGGCAGUAUCGUAGCCAAUGAGGUUUAUCCGAGGCGUGAUUAUUGCUAAUUGAAAAAUGAAUGGGGGCACCUAGGUGGCUCAGGUGAUAAGCAUCUGCCUUCGGCUCAGGUCUCAUGACCCCAGGGCCCUGGGAUCUUUUCGGGUCUCCCUGCUCAGCAGGAA